UACAGAGGCCCCAAGCGUUACUGAGAAUCACUGGGUUUAAAGGGUGCGUAGGUGGCGCGUUAAGUCCGUUGUGAAAUCCCUUGGCUCAACCAAGGAACUGCUUCGGAUACUGGCGUGCUUGAGGCUAGUAGAGGUCACUGGAACUGACGGUGGAGCGGUGAAAUGCGUAGAUAUCGUCAGGAACGCCAAUGGUGAAGACAGGUGACUGGGCUAGUUCUGACACUGAGGCACGAAAGCCAGGGGAGCAAACGGG
rnacentral:rRNA from 1 species